UACGUAGGGGGCGAGCGUUGUCCGGAGUUACUGGGCGUAAAGCGCGCGUAGGCGGUCAUUUAAGUCUGGGGUGAAAGGUUCAACGCUCAACGUGAACAGUGCCUUGGAUACUGGGUGACUUGAGUUCGGGAGGGGGCAGUGGAAUUCCAGGUGUAGCGGUGAAAUGCGUAGAUAUCCGAAGGAACACCGGUGGCGAAAGCGGCGCGCUGGACCUCUUCUGACGCUGAGGCGCGAAAGCCAGGGGAGCAAACGGG
rnacentral:rRNA from 1 species